UACGUAGGCAGCAAGCGUUGUUCGGAGUUACUGGGCGUAAAGGGUGUGUAGGCGGUCUUCUAAGUUUGGUGUGAAAUCUCCCGGCUCAACUGGGAGGGUGCGCCGAAAACUGGGAGGCUAGAGUGCGGGAUGGGAGAGUGGAAUUCCUGGUGUAGCGGUGAAAUGCGUAGAUAUCGGGAAGAACACCCGUGGCGAAGGCGGCUCUCUGGGACGGUACUGACGCUGAGACGCGAAAGCGUGGGGAGCGAACAGG
rnacentral:rRNA from 1 species